rnacentral:rRNA from 1 species
CUUGCUACCUGACCUAGCGGCGGACGGGUGAGUAAUGCUUAGGAAUCUGCCUAUUAGUGGGGGACAACAUCUCGAAAGGGAUGCUAAUACCGCAGACGUCCUACGGGAGAAAGCAGGGGACCUUCGGGCCUUGCGCUAAUAGAUGAGCCUAAGUCGGAUUAGCUAGUUGGUGGGGUAAAGGCCUACCAAGGCGACGAUCUGUAGCGGGUCUGAGAGGAUGAUCCGCCACACUGGGACUGAGACACGGCCCAGACUCCUACGGGAGGCAGCAGUGGGGAAUAUUGGACAAUGGGGGGAACCCUGAUCCAGCCAUGCCGCGUGUGUGAAGAAGGCCUUUUGGUUGUAAAGCACUUUAAGCGAGGAGGAGGCUACCGAGAUUAAUACUCUUGGAUAGUGGACGUUACUCGCAGAAUAAGCACCGGCUAACUCUGUGCCAGCAGCCGCGGUAAUACAGAGGGUGCAAGCGUUAAUCGGAUUUACUGGGCGUAAAGCGCGCGUAGGUGGCCAAUUAAGUCAAAUGUGAAAUCCCCGAGCUUAACUUGGGAAUUGCAUUCGAUACUGGUUGGCUAGAGUAUGGGAGAGGAUGGUAGAAUUCCAGGUGUAGCGGUGAAAUGCGUAGAGAUCUGGAGGAAUACCGAUGGCGAAGGCAGCCAUCUGGCCUAAUACUGACACUGAGGUGCGAAAGCAUGGGGAGCAAACAGGAUUAGAUACCCUGGUAGUCCAUGCCGUAAACGAUGUCUACUAGCCGUUGGGGCCUUUGAGGCUUUAGUGGCGCAGCUAACGCGAUAAGUAGACCGCCUGGGGGAGUACGGUCGCAAGACUAAAACUCAAAUGAAUUGACGGGGGCCCGCACAAGCGGUGGAGCAUGUGGUUUAAUUCGAUGCAACGCGAAGAACCUUACCUGGUCUUGACAUAGUAAGAACUUUCCA